rnacentral:sRNA from 1 species
GUGGUUUGAUGGAUGUCAAGUUCAACUCAUCAUUUUUAGAAGGAGCAUUGGAACUUCCUUCACUUACCAUU